GUUAUUUUUCGAUUUUAAAUUGGUAGACCAAGAACUUAGUGAAGUGUGCAUUAUAUAGGAUUCUCACAUAAUUUUACCUUCCUAUCAAGUACUGUUAUUUUCAUAUUCAUUUCUCUGGAAGGUUGUAUUCUAUCCAACUUGAACUAUAGAAUUAUCAUGUGGAAGGAUAUCUAGACCAUAUGGGAUACUCUCUAAGUAGAACCUUGCAUAGAUUUUCCACUGGACUGUUAAAACAUUUCAUAUUUCAUUAGAAUCUGGUCCCAAACAUUCAUAUAUUCGAUAAAAUGCAAUACUUUUCUUGGCACUAUGUGGGAGAAGCAACAUUUUUCAACCAUUGUUUCCUGCCAAUUCCAUUUAACACCAAUUAUUAUACUGAAUUAUGUAUGCUGGGUAUCAUAAAGUAAAUGUUUUCUUCAGACAUUAUGUAUAUCAGGUUUUCUUUGGAUUUAAUAUGCUGGGUAUCAUAAAGUAAAUGUUUUCUUCAGACAUUAUGUAUAUCAGGUUUUCUUUGGAUUUAAUAUGCUGGGUAUCAUAAAGUAAAUGUUUUCUUCAGACAUUAUGUAUAUCAGGUUUUCUUUGGAUUUAA
rnacentral:misc_RNA from 1 species